rnacentral:rRNA from 1 species
UGCAAGUCGAACGGCAGCACGGGUGCUUGCACCUGGUGGCGAGUGGCGAACGGGUGAGUAAUACAUCGGAACAUGUCCUGUAGUGGGGGAUAGCCCGGCGAAAGCCGGAUUAAUACCGCAUACGAUCUACGGAUGAAAGCGGGGGACCUUCGGGCCUCGCGCUAUAGGGUUGGCCGAUGGCUGAUUAGCUAGUUGGUGGGGUAAAGGCCUACCAAGGCGACGAUCAGUAGCUGGUCUGAGAGGACGACCAGCCAC